rnacentral:tRNA from 1 species
AGAAAGAUAAGCUAAUUUAAGCUAUUAGGUUCAUACCCUGCUUAUAGAAGUAAAAUCUUCUUCUUUCUA